rnacentral:rRNA from 1 species
GACGUAGGGCGCGAGCGUUGUCCGGAUUUAUUGGGCGUAAAGAGCUCGUAGGCGGCUUGUCGCGUCGUUCGUGAAAACCCGGGGCUCAACUCCGGGCUUGCGGGCGAUACGGGCAGGCUAGAGUUCGGCAGGGGAGACUGGAAUUCCUGGUGUAGCGGUGAAAUGCGCAGAUAUCAGGAGGAACACCGGUGGCGAAGGCGGGUCUCUGGGCCGAUACUGACGCUGAGGAGCGAAAGCGUGGGGAGCGAACAGG